UUCGGCAUAGCCUAAGGGUUAGGAUACCUGGCUCUCACCCAGCAACCCGGGUUCGAUUCCCGGUAUCGAAC